rnacentral:tRNA from 1 species
AGAAACUUAGGCUAAAUAGACCUAAGGCCUUCAAAGCCUUCAGUAAAGGUGCAACCCCUUUAGUUUCUG